GUCCGUCGUCGUCCGUCGUUAGCUUUUACAAAAAUCUUCUCCUCUGAAACUACUGGGCCAAAUUAAAGCAAACUUGGCCACAAUCAUCAUUGGGUAUCUAGUUUAAAAAAUGUGUGGCGUGACCCGGCCAACCAACCAAGAUGGCCGCCAUGGCUAAAAAUAGAACAUAGGGGUAAAAUGUAGAUUUUGGCUUAUAACUCUGAAACCAAAGCAUUUAGAGCAAAUCUGACAUGGGGUAUAAUUGUUUAUCAGGUGAAGAUCUAUCUCUGAAAUUUUCAGACGAAUCGGUCAACCGGUUGUUGGGUUGCAUCCCCUGAAUUGGCAAUUUUAAGGAAAUUAUACUGUUUUUUGGCUAUUAUCUUGAAUAUUAGAGAUACACUGUAAACAGC
rnacentral:lncRNA from 1 species